rnacentral:misc_RNA from 1 species
ACGAAUCAAAAGUCGGUCGAUUGUGCUGGCGGAGAUGCAUGUGCACGUCGGUCGCAAACCAAUCCACACACCUGUGAACGUAUGGCCUUUGGGUCUCUCGACCCGAGGGCAAACCAUUUUUUACCCACUCUGUUCGUAAAGGAAUGUCAUAUGUGCUAACGCGCAAACUUAA